AACGAACGCUGGCGGCAGGCUUAACACAUGCAAGUCGAGCGCCCCGCAAGGGGAGCGGCAGACGGGUGAGUAACGCGUGGGAACGUACCCUUUGCUACGGAAUAGCUCCGGGAAACUGGAAUUAAUACCGUAUGUGCCCUACGGGGGAAAGAUUUAUCGGCAAAGGAUCGGCCCGCGUUGGAUUAGCUAGUUGGUGGGGUAAUGGCCUACCAAGGCGACGAUCCAUAGCUGGUCUGAGAGGAUGAUCAGCCACAUUGGGACUGAGACACGGCCCAAACUCCUACGGGAGGCAGCAGUGGGGAAUAUUGGACAAUGGGCGAAAGCCUGAUCCAGCCAUGCCGCGUGGGUGAAGAAGGCCUUAGGGUUGUAAACCCCUUUCAGCGGGGAAGAUAAUGACGGUACCCGCAGAAGAAGUCCCGGCUAACUCCGUGCCAGCAGCCGCGGUAAUAC
rnacentral:rRNA from 1 species